GACGAACGCUGGCGGCGUGCUUAACACAUGCAAGUCGAACGGAAAGGCCCUGCUUUUGUGGGGUGCUCGAGUGGCGAACGGGUGAGUAACACGUGAGUAACCUGCCCUUGACUUUGGGAUAACUUCAGGAAACUGGGGCUAAUACCGGAUAGGAGCUCCUGCUGCAUGGUGGGGGUUGGAAAUUUUCGGCGGUUGGGGAUGGACUCGCGGCUUAUCAGCUUGUUGGUGGGGUAGGGGCUUACCAAGGCUUUGACGGGUAGCCGGCCUGAGAGGGUGACCGGCCACAUUGGGACUGCGAUACGGCCCAGACUCCUACGGGAGGCAGCAGUGGGGAAUAUUGCACAAUGGGCGGAAGCCUGAUGCAGCAACGCCGCGUGCGGGAUGACGGCCUUCGGGUUGUAAACCGCUUUCGCCUGUGACGAAGCGUGAGUGACGGUAAUGGGUAAAGAAGCACCGGCUAACUACGUG
rnacentral:rRNA from 1 species